UUCAGACGACGUGUUAUUAAUAAACGAGCCUACGCUAGCUGUAUGUGAAGAAUAUCUGCUGCUACUAGAGCCCGGAGGUCGAGUCGCUAAUCAAAGUGCUGACCAAACGAUUGUUAACGGCAAUCAGCACACCUCCUCCAGAAACCUUAUCGGAGUUAGUAGGCGAUCGAUCACAGCGAACGCAAACACAUCGUAGUCCAACUCGAGCGAUGACAAAAAAACGGUCUCAAGUCGCCUCCUGCUUCGGAUACUAUUCAUAUUCUGGCGAACAACAUGAUGAGCGCGACAGAAAGUUGGUGCUUGCAAUUCGAAGUGGCAAACUAUUGUUGGCGAAACGAAACCUGCAUUGUUGGCUCCGUACGCUGCUGGGACAAGAAAGGAUUGGCAAUAGGCUGUUCAUUACUUGAUGCUACUGUUUGGGCGACGAUGUCAGCAG